AGCGUACACGGUGGAUGCCCUGGCAGUCAGAGGCGAUGAAGGACGUGCUAAUCUGCGAAAAGCGUCGGUAAGGUGAUAUGAACCGUUAUAACCGGCGAUGUCCGAAUGGGGAAACCCAGUGCAAUUCGUUGCACUAUCGUUAACUGAAUACAUAGGUUAACGAGGCGAACCGGGGGAACUGAAACAUCUAAGUACCCCGAGGAAAAGAAAUCAACCGAGAUUCCCCCAGUAGCGGCGAGCGAACGGGGAGCAGCCCAGAGUCUGAAUCAGCUUGUGUGUUAGUGGAACGGUCUGGAAAGUCCGACGGUACAGGGUGAUAGUCCCGUACACCAAAAUGCACAGGUUGUGAACUCGAAGAGUAGGGCGGGACACGUGGUAUCCUGUCUGAAUAUGGGGGGACCAUCCUCCAAGGCUAAAUACUCCUGACUGACCGAUAGUGAACCAGUACCGUGAGGGAAAGGCGAAAAGAACCCCGGCGAGGGGAGUGAAAAAGAACCUGAAACCGUGUACGUACAAGCAGUGGGAGCACCUUCGGGUGUGACUGCGUACCUUUUGUAUAAUGGGUCAGCGACUUAUAUUCUGUAGCAAGGUUAACCGUAUAGGGGAGCCGCAGGGAAACCGAGUCUUAACUGGGCGUUAAGUUGCAGGGUAUAGACCCGAAACCCGGUGAUCUAGCCAUGGGCAGGUUGAAGGUUGGGUAACACUAACUGGAGGACCGAACCGACUAAUGUUGAAAAAUUAGCGGAUGACUUGUGGCUGGGGGUGAAAGGCCAAUCAAACCGGGAGAUAGCUGGUUCUCCCCGAAAGCUAUUUAGGUAGCGCCUCGUGAACUCAUCUUCGGGGGUAGAGCACUGUUUCGGCUAGGGGGUCAUCCCGACUUACCAACCCGAUGCAAACUACGAAUACCGAAGAAUGUUAUCACGGGAGACACACGGCGGGUGCUAACGUCCGUCGUGAAGAGGGAAACAACCCAGACCGCCAGCUAAGGUCCCAAAGUCAUGGUUAAGUGGGAAACGAUGUGGGAAGGCACAGACAGCCAGGAUGUUGGCUUAGAAGCAGCCAUCAUUUAAAGAAAGCGUAAUAGCUCACUGGUCGAGUCGGCCUGCGCGGAAGAUGUAACGGGGCUAAACCAUGCACCGAAGCUGCGGCAGCGACACUAUGUGUUGUUGGGUAGGGGAGCGUUCUGUAAGCCUGCGAAGGUGUGCUGUGAGGCAUGCUGGAGGUAUCAGAAGUGCGAAUGCUGACAUAAGUAACGAUAAAGCGGGUGAAAAGCCCGCUCGCCGGAAGACCAAGGGUUCCUGUCCAACGUUAAUCGGGGCAGGGUGAGUCGACCCCUAAGGCGAGGCCGAAAGGCGUAGUCGAUGGGAAACAGGUUAAUAUUCCUGUACUUGGUGUUACUGCGAAGGGGGGACGGAGAAGGCUAUGUUAGCCGGGCGACGGUUGUCCCGGUUUAAGCAUGUAGGCUGAUUGUCCAGGCAAAUCCGGAUAAUCAAGGCUGAGGUGUGAUGACGAGGCACUACGGUGCUGAAGUAACAAAUGCCCUGCUUCCAGGAAAAGCCUCUAAGCAUCAGGUAACAUUAAAUCGUACCCCAAACCGACACAGGUGGUCAGGUAGAGAAUACCAAGGCGCUUGAGAGAACUCGGGUGAAGGAACUAGGCAAAAUGGUGCCGUAACUUCGGGAGAAGGCACGCUGGUGUGUAGGUGAAGUCCCUGCGGAUGGAGCUGAGACCAGUCGAAGAUACCAGCUGGCUGCAACUGUUUAUUAAAAACACAGCACUGUGCAAACACGAAAGUGGACGUAUACGGUGUGACGCCUGCCCGGUGCCGGAAGGUUAAUUGAUGGGGUUAUCCGUAAGGAGAAGCUCUUGAUCGAAGCCCCGGUAAACGGCGGCCGUAACUAUAACGGUCCUAAGGUAGCGAAAUUCCUUGUCGGGUAAGUUCCGACCUGCACGAAUGGCGUAAUGAUGGCCAGGCUGUCUCCACCCGAGACUCAGUGAAAUUGAACUCGCUGUGAAGAUGCAGUGUACCCGCGGCAAGACGGAAAGACCCCGUGAACCUUUACUAUAGCUUGACACUGAACAUUGAGCCUUGAUGUGUAGGAUAGGUGGGAGGCUUUGAAGCGUGGACGCCAGUCUGCGUGGAGCCAACCUUGAAAUACCACCCUUUAAUGUUUGAUGUUCUAACGUUGGCCCCUGACCGGGGUUGCGGACAGUGUCUGGUGGGUAGUUUGACUGGGGCGGUCUCCUCCCAAAGCGUAACGGAGGAGCACGAAGGUUAGCUAAUCCUGGUCGGACAUCAGGAGGUUAGUGCAAUGGCAUAAGCUAGCUUGACUGCGAGCGUGACGGCGCGAGCAGGUGCGAAAGCAGGUCAUAGUGAUCCGGUGGUUCUGAAUGGAAGGGCCAUCGCUCAACGGAUAAAAGGUACUCCGGGGAUAACAGGCUGAUACCGCCCAAGAGUUCAUAUCGACGGCGGUGUUUGGCACCUCGAUGUCGGCUCAUCACAUCCUGGGGCUGAAGUAGGUCCCAAGGGUAUGGCUGUUCGCCAUUUAAAGUGGUACGCGAGCUGGGUUUAGAACGUCGUGAGACAGUUCGGUCCCUAUCUGCCGUGGGCGCUGGAGAAUUGAGGGGGGCUGCUCCUAGUACGAGAGGACCGGAGUGGACGCAUCACUGGUGUUCGGGUUGUCAUGCCAAUGGCACUGCCCGGUAGCUAAAUGCGGAAGAGAUAAGUGCUGAAAGCAUCUAAGCACGAAACUUGCCCCGAGAUGAGUUCU
rnacentral:rRNA from 1 species